rnacentral:misc_RNA from 1 species
GAAGAUUUCAAAAGAGCAAGUAACCUGGUGGAGAACGCCAUCUAAGAAUUGGCAUGUGCCUCAUGCCUAAGAAUCCAGGCCAUUUGAAAAAAAUGCCAUGUAAACAAGGAUAAGAAUUUUUUUUUUUUACGUCGUAUUUACUGUAGUAUCAUAAGAAAUGUAGAAAACACUAAAUUAUUAUUUAAGCAUUUUGAAUAAUUGUUU